GAAACUAAUCUCACCAAAUCCCAAGUAAUUAGUCUUACCAAAUGAAUAGUGUGAGAUUAGUCAAGCUUGCAAUUACUUGGAUACAACCACUCUGAGUCACAAUUUGUUGGAUUCUAUUGGGGCGGUGAAAGUUAGUGGGUUUUGCUUCAAGUCAUAAGUAAAGAAUAAAGUAUACUCGAAGAAUAUUUCUACAUUUGUGGUAGACCAAACGCGAAUCUAAUUGUGCAGCCAAGUCUUCUAUACU